AUAAUUUGGUAAAUGCACACUUUUUCAUAUUAACAAAAUUUAAAUUAAAAAAAAAAUCAGAUAAUGGAUCCUAUUUUUAUAGAACACAACUACCCAUUAUCUUUUUUAAUUCUAAAAUAAAAUUUAAAAAGCCUCUCAUAUCACAGGUACUUUAUUAAAAAAUAAUAAGCAUAAGAGUGUUCAAAAGAUAACACUGAAAUAAAUGGAUAUGCAAUUUUCUGAAAAUUACCCAAAAAAAAAAAAAAAAAAAAAAACCAAUUGAAGUGCAUAUAUAGUGGGAUGAUUAAUUGAAUUUGCUUGCCAAGAUGCUAAUUUGGAUGAUUAACUGAAUAAAUCACACAUCUCUACUAUUAUAAUUGAAUUAAAUACGUUUAAUGACAUUAAUUUUAAUAACGUAU
rnacentral:lncRNA from 1 species